rnacentral:rRNA from 1 species
AGAGUUUGAUCCUGGCUCAGAGUGAACGCUGGCGGCGUGCUUAACACAUGCAAGUCGAACGAGAACGGGUUAUAGCUUGCUAUAACUGUCAGCUAAGUGGCGCACGGGUGAGUAAUAUAUAGGUAACAUGCCUUCGAGAAGGGGAUAACGUUUGGAAACGAACGCUAAUACCCUAUAUGCCUUUAUCCCAUAAGGGAGCAAGGGAAAUAUUUAUAGCUCGAAGAUUGGCCUGUACGGUAUCAGCUUGUUGGUGAGGUAAUGGCUCACCAAGGCUAUGACAUCUAACUGGUUUGAGAGGAUGAUCAGUCACACUGGAACUGAGACACGGUCCAGACUCCUACGGGAGGCAGCAGUGGGGAAUAUUGCACAAUGGACGAAAGUCUGAUGCAGCAACGCCGCGUGGAGGAUGACACAUUUCGGUGCGUAAACUCCUUUUAUAUGGGAAGAUAAUGACGGUACCAUAUGAAUAAGCACCGCUAACU